CGGGAGCUAACGCGUUAAGUCGACCGCCUGGGGAGUACGGCCGCAAGGUUAAAACUCAAAUGAAUUGACGGGGGCCCGCACAGCGGUGGAGCAUGUGGUUUAAUUCGAUGCAACGCGAAGAACCUUACCUACUCUUGACAUCCAGAGAACUUAGCAGAGAUGCUUUGGUGCCUUCGGGAACUCUGAGACAGGUGCUGCAUGGCUGUCGUCAGCUCGUGUUGUGAAAUGUUGGGUUAAGUCCCGCAACGAGCGCAACCCUUAUCCUUUGUUGCCAGCGGUUAGGCCGGGAACUCAAAGGAGACUGCCAGUGAUAAACUGGAGGAAGGUGGGGAUGACGUCAAGUCAUCAUGGCCCUUACGAGUAGGGCUACACACGUGCUACAAUGGCGCAUACAAAGAGAAGCGACCUCGCGAGAGCAAGCGGACCUCAUAAAGUGCGUCGUAGUCCGGAUUGGAGUCUGCAACUCGACUCCAUGAAGUCGGAAUCGCUAGUAAUCGUAGAUCAGAAUGCUACGGUGAAUACGUUCCCGGGCCUUGUACACACCGCCCGUCACACCAUGGGAGUGGGUUGCAAAAGAAGUAGGUAGCUUAACCUUCGGGAGGGCGCUUACCACUUUGUGAUUCAUGACUGGGGUGAAGUCGUAACAAGGUAACCAAGGGCGAAUUCCAG
rnacentral:rRNA from 1 species